AUCUUACCUGGCGUAUCCAAUGAUGAGGCUGCCGAACACGGUACCGAUUCCAGCACCGGAUCCCGCAACUCCCACAGUAGCAGCUCCAGCUCCGAUGAACUUAGCAGCAGUGUGAACAUCUUGAAAUAUGACUCCGCAUGCAGUAUUUGUCUGCUUGAGGGUGAUGAAUGGCCUGCGGGUGCCGCGGGUCGAGUGGAGGUUCAGGUAAUGAGUGCAGUGAGUGUGACGAGCUCAGGUGCGAUCAGUACA
ensembl:processed_transcript